CACGUAGGGUGCGAGCGUUGUCCGGAAUUAUUGGGCGUAAAGAGCUCGUAGGCGGUGUGUCGCGUCGGCCGUGAAAACCUGCAGCUUAACUGUGGGCUUGCGGUCGAUACGGGCAUCACUGGAGUUCGGCAGGGGAGACUGGAAUUCCUGGUGUAGCGGUGAAAUGCGCAGAUAUCAGGAGGAACACCGGUGGCGAAGGCGGGUCUCUGGGCCGAUACUGACGCUGAGACGCGAAAGCCAGGGGAGCAAACGGG
rnacentral:rRNA from 1 species